CAUUAUCAGUAUAGUGAAAGAUAUACAGUGUACAGAAUGAAGUGUUUAUUGUUGAUAACCGUAGCUGUAGUUUUUCUGGCUCAAAAUGCCGAAGCUAGCUUCGAAGACGGUGAAUUGUCCCGUGAAGAAGUUGCAGAAUUGCUUGAAAUGGAGAGUGAAGAAGAACUAGACGAAUUCUUUGCUGAAUUUGAUACUAAUGGCGAUGGCGUUAUUGAUUUAGAAGAAUCUACAGCAGUCGGAGAAGUCCUGGAUUAUUUCAUAGGAAAUGGUUCAGAAUAGAACACAACUCAAAUCAGAAACCAUUACAAUAUAAUCGAUGAUCAUUUAUUUUUAAUACAGCUUUACAUUUUAAUAUGCAUAAACCAUUAAAAUUAA